UACAGAGGUCUCGAGCGUUAGGCGGAAUCACUGGGCUUAAAGCGUGUGUAGGCGGAUCGGUAAGUACCUUGUGAAAUCCCACAGCUUAACUGUGGAACUGCUUGGUAUACUGCCAGUCUUGAGCCAGCUAGGGGCUACCGGAACAAAUGGUGGAGCGGUGAAAUGCGUAGAUAUCAGGAGGAACACCGGUGGCGAAGGCGGCUUGCUGGGCCUUACCUGACGCUGAGGAGCGAAAGCGUGGGGAGCGAACAGG
rnacentral:rRNA from 1 species